AGAGAGAGACAUCUAUUGCUCUGGGAAUGUUUUCUGGCUAGUAACAGUCAAAAAAAGAAUUGCAUGUUUAUAUAGGCCCUAUACUGAGUGAGGACAGAAAGUGGGUCCAUACAUCAUAACUUGACUUGCUAGAAUUUCUUUGUGGGGCAAGGAUAAAAGGAAGAUCGAACAGUGACUCUUACACAGGAAGAGAAAAUCUUAAGUUUGUUGUUUUAAUUGUAGACAAAGUUACAGGUUUGAGAGAGGACUUUUAAUUACAAACACUGAUUGAUUGAUUGAUUUUUGCGGCAGUGUAGCCUGAGUCCCUCUUAAGAAUUAACCUGGCCCCAUAAUCCCUUUCAAAUGAGGCCCUGCUCUAUCAGCUCACCCUCUGUAUGUAGACAGCUCCAAUUCCUAGCAUGGGUGAUAACCCCCUGCUAGCUAGUAACAUAUUUUAUGCGCUUAGUCAGCCAGGGUUCCAGUAAACAGAUCUGUGACUCACAUCUCUAGCUUAAACAUAAAAUAGAAGCCUAGAACAUAGCUGCCCUGCCCUACAGUGCUCAAGUGCAAUCAGUCCUUCAUUUAUUUUCAUUGGAAAGCAAUAUUUAGAGUUCUCUUCACCAGCAUCUGGCUGAUUCUGCAAAGCCUGUACCGCUCCCUACUGUCAGUGCUGGGGAGGGGGCAGAACUGAGCAGGGACUGCAGAAUGUCUGUCCUACAGCAGGUGUCUAGCCCUUUUCCUUGCAGAGGAAGGCUUGAAAACAUAAACAAGAUUAUCAGGUUGCUGAAGUGGAAAGGAACAAGCAGCUGGCUUCUACUUCUGUCCUGGGGGGGGACCUUGUAGAGAUUCUCUUGAACUCCUCAGGCCAGUCCUGCAGCUUGUAGUGCACUAAUAAACAGACUCUUUUGGUUCUGUCCAAAAUGGCCAAGGCCAGCUCUGCUAGCAGCCAGUCAGUAUCCAGCUUUUUUUAAGCAUGGGUAUCUCCUAUUGUAUCAACAGUACAGCCUACUGCAGUGAGACAGGUGUUACUUAGCAGAGUCCUACGUAGGUUGCUAUAUGGGAGAGGGGAAGAGCAGGGGGCAGCCAUUUGCUGGUGUCACUUGGUGCAUGCAAAAGCCUGGCUUAGAGCCGUGUUGCAAAGUCCCCUCAUCAACCAGUUAACAUCGGCUAUGCCAUACGUUCCUCCAAACCUUAUGCUGCAGUCUGUCCCAUUUAUCCAGCCUAGAGGGCGCCUAGUGUUCUGAUACAUUCUUCUGAGUGAGGAGCUAAGCCUAUACUACUCCUGGGGAAUUCUGCAUCACUGCACAUGUGCAGAAUUCAUGUCCCUUGCAGGUUUGCUUCUCUGUAGAAAAAUGAUUUCUGAUGGGGAAUUAAAGGGAAACCACAAGAGUGGUGUCACACUCCUCUCCGGCAAGGUUGGUUCAGGCACCCAGAGCAGCUGGUAGAGACAUAAAUUACUGCUAGGAGGGGAAGUGAGCUGGGCAGUUGUGUGUGUGUGUGUGUGUGUGUGACACACGCUCUGUCCCUCUUGCUUGCUAUUGCAGUAUGCUGGCCAUGGAGGGCAGGCCUUCAGGAUGUUCCUGAGGAGCAGAAUGUAGCAGCCUGCCUUCUUAGUGAAUUCCCCCUGGAGUAUAAAACGUGUAAAAGUUUUAAGGCUCCUUUACAUUGCCAGAGUGCUGUAAAGGACAGUGCUUAUAAAUGCUCAUGUGCUUUAGUGAUUAGAACUGCUCUAAAUUUUUGGACUGAAAAAACAUGCUCCAUGAACUGUUUGCCACAGACCUCCCUGGUACUGGUCAGUAACCCAUAUAAUUGGGUUUGAUUCCCCAGCCCUCACUUGCUCUUCAGUUGCCUAUGAUGUAACACUGAGCAUACGGCUGCAUAUAUUGGUUGACUAAUAACUGGAAAUAAAGGGUCAAACCUAGCGCCAUUACUAUAAGGCAAGGGGGUUUGGGGAUUUCCUCCAAUGCUACUUACUCCCCUUCUCCAGCCAUUGUAGUGUAGUUUAAAUAAAUGACCUAAAUAAUUGAAGCCAGUAUGAUUAUAUUAUUUUGACAAAAUAUGCUGAAUUUUGAAAAAUUUUAA